GGAGGAUCCAAGCGUUAUCCGGAAUCAUUGGGUUUAAAGGGUCCAUAGGCGGUUUAAUAAGUCAGUGGUGAAAGCCCAUCGCUCAACGGUGGAACGGCCAUUGAUACUGUUAAACUUGAAUUAUUAGGAAGUAACUGGAAUAUGUAGUGUAGCGGUGAAAUGCUUAGAGAUUACAUGGAAUACCAAUUGCGAAGGCAGGUUACUACUAAUUGAUUGACGCUGAUGGACGAAAGCGUGGGUAGCGAACAGGAUUAGAUACCCUGGUAGUCCACGCCGUAAACGAUGGAUACUAGCUGUUGGGAGCAAUCUCAGUGGCUAAGCGAAAGUGAUAAGUAUCCCACCUGGGGAGUACGUUCGCAAGAAUG
rnacentral:rRNA from 1 species